GCCCUUAGAGUUUGAUCCUGGCUCAGGAUGAACGCUAGCGGCAGGCUUAAUACAUGCAAGUCGAGGGGCAGCACGGGUAGCAAUACCUGGUGGCGACCGGCAAACGGGUGCGGAACACGUACGCAACCUUCCCGGAACAGGUGAAUAGCCCUGCGAAAGUAGGAUUAAUACACCGUAUGAUAUUGGAGUGGCAUCACUUGGAUAUCAAAGGUAGCAAUACCGGUUUUGGAUGGGCGUGCGCCUGAUUAGGUAGUUGGUGCGGGUAAUGGCCCACCAAGCCUUCGAUCAGUAACUGGUGUGAGAGCACGACCAGUCACACGGGCACUGAGACACGGGCCCGACUCCUACGGGAGGCAGCAGUAAGGAAUAUUGGUCAAUGGACGGAAGUCUGAACCAGCCAUGCCGCGUGAAGGAUGACUGCCCUCUGGGUUGUAAACUUCUUUUAUCUGGGACGAAAAAAGGGCUAUCUAGCUCACUUGACGGUACCAGAGGAAUAAGCACCGGCUAACUCCGUGCCAGCAGCCGCGGUAAUACGGAGGGUGCAAGCGUUAUCCGGAUUUACU
rnacentral:rRNA from 1 species